rnacentral:rRNA from 1 species
UAAUACGAAGGGGGCUAGCGUUGUUCGGAAUUACUGGGCGUAAAGGGCGCGUAGGCGGCUGCCCAAGUCAGAUGUGAAAGCCCCGGGCUCAACCUGGGAAUAGCAUUUGAGACUGGGCGGCUUGAGUUUCGGAGAGGUGGGUGGAAUUCCCAGUGUAGAGGUGAAAUUCGUAGAUAUUGGGAAGAACACCGGUGGCGAAGGCGGCCCACUGGACGAAUACUGACGCUGAGGCGCGAAAGCGUGGGGAGCAAACAGG